rnacentral:rRNA from 1 species
AGAGUUUGAUCCUGGCUCAGGACGAACGCUGGCGGCGUGCCUAAUACAUGCAAGUCGAGCGAGCUUGCCUAGAUGAUUUUAGUGCUUGCACUAAAUGAAACUAGAUACAAGCUAGCGGCGGACGGGUGAGUAACACGUGGGUAACCUGCCCAAGAGACUGGGAUAACACCUGGAAACAGAUGCUAAUACCGGAUAACAACACUAGACGCAUGUCUAGAGUUUAAAAGAUGGUUCUGCUAUCACUCUUGGAUGGACCUGCGGUGCAUUAGCUAGUUGGUAAGGUAACGGCUUACCAAGGCAAUGAUGCAUAGCCGAGUUGAGAGACUGAUCGGCCACAUUGGGACUGAGACACGGCCCAAACUCCUACGGGAGGCAGCAGUAGGGAAUCUUCCACAAUGGACGCAAGUCUGAUGGAGCAACGCCGCGUGAGUGAAGAAGGGUUUCGGCUCGUAAAGCUCUGUUGGUAGUGAAGAAAGAUAGAGGUAGUAACUGGCCUUUAUUUGACGGUAAUUACCUAGAAAGUCACGGCUAACUACGUGCCAGCAGCCGCGGUAAUACGUAGGUGGCAAGCGUUGUCCGGAUUUAUUGGGCGUAAAGCGAGUGCAGGCGGUUCAAUAAGUCUGAUGUGAAAGCCUUCGGCUCAACCGGAGAAUUGCAUCAGAAACUGUUGAACUUGAGUGCAGAAGAGGAGAGUGGAACUCCAUGUGUAGCGGUGGAAUGCGUAGAUAUAUGGAAGAACAC